rnacentral:rRNA from 1 species
AUGACCUUUGGUAAUGAGAAUGAGGUGCGAGAGUAUUAUACCCAGUAUGCUAAAGCAAAAGGCUUUGGUGUGACGAGAAGAAGUUCAAACAGUGAUGAUAAUGGACAAUUGAGGUACCUUACACUUUCCUGCAGCCGUCAUGGUAAGACUCAGUCCAACUCAAGAAAUAUGUUGAAGCCAAAUCCAUCAGCCGGGUUAGGAUGCAAAGCUAAAAUUAAUGUUACUCGUGGUCCUGAUGGGAAGUUGUACCUUUCGAAGGUCAUAUUGGAUCAUAAUCAUGCAUUAAGUCCACUAAAAUCUCGGUUAUUUAGAUGCAACAAAAGGUUAGACUACCAUGUUAAGCGAAAGCUUGAGUUGAAUGACAGAGCCGGAAUUCGGGUAAACAAGAACUUCAAUUCUUUUGUUGUGGCAGCAGAUGGUCAUCAUAACCUAACUUUUGGUGAGAAAGAUUCUCGUAAUUUUCUAGAGAAAAUAAGGAGGCUGAAACUUGGCAGUGGUGAUGCUGAAGCGGUUCGUGACUACUUUAUUAAAAUGCAAUCCGACAACCCAAACUUUUUUAGUGUAAUGGAUGUUGAUGAUGAAUCCCGACUUAGGAAUGUAUUUUGGGCUGAUGCCAGAAGUAGGGCAGUGUAUGACUCUUUUCAUGAUGUCAUUACUUUUGAUACGACAUAUUUGAUGAACAAAUAUGAUAUGCCGUUUGCUUGUUUUGUCGGAGUGAAUCAUCAUGGCCAAUCAGUUUUGCUAGGAUGUGCUUUAUUAUCAAAUGAAGAUACUGGAACAUUUGUUUGGUUAUUUCAAGCAUGGCUCACAUGUAUGUCAAAUCGUCAACCAAAAGCAAUUGUCACGGAUCAAGCAAAAGCAAUUCAGAAUGGUGUGGAAGUAGUUUUUCCGGAAUCUCGAUACAGAUGGUGCUUGUGGCACAUAAUGAAAAAGAUACCCGAGAAGCUAGGUGGGUAUGAUGAAUAUGAUCGCAUCAAGGUUGCUGUUGGCAAUGCGGUCUAUGAUUCAUUAACAGUUGCAGAGUUUGAAGUUGCUUGGAUGCAUAUGAUUGAGAAGUAUGAUCUUGGUGAUAAUGAAUGGCUUAAAGGGCUUUACAACUAUCGACACCGUUGGGUUCCAGCAUUUGUGAAAGAUGCCUUUUGGGCAGGUAUGUCUACUACACAACGUAGUGAGAGUAUGAAUGCCUUCUUUGAUGGAUAUGUUAAUGCAAAAACUACAUUGAAGCAUUUUGUUAGCCAAUAUGAGAAUGCUCUUCGUGAUAAAGUUGAGAAGGAGAAUGUUGCUGAUUUCAAUUCUUUCAAUUCAACCAUACCUUGUAUCACACGCUUUGACAUUGAGAAGCAAUUUCAGUCAAUCUAUACAAAUUCAAAGUUCAAAGAAUUUCAAGAAGAGCUAACAGAUAUUAUGUAUUGUGAUCGGAAGUUUAUACAAAAAGAAGGGGCAAUAGAAACAUAUGAAAUAACCGAGGAUGUGCUAAUUGACGAAGAAAAAGGAUGGAGAAAGGAU